CACGUAGGGUGCGAGCGUUGUCCGGAAUUAUUGGGCGUAAAGAGCUCGUAGGUGGUUUGUCGCGUUGUUCGUGAAAACUCACAGCUCAACUGUGGGCGUGCGGGCGAUACGGGCAGACUUGAGUACUGCAGGGGAGACUGGAAUUCCUGGUGUAGCGGUGGAAUGCGCAGAUAUCAGGAGGAACACCGGUGGCGAAGGCGGGUCUCUGGGCAGUAACUGACGCUGAGGAGCGAAAGCGUGGGGAGCGAACAGG
rnacentral:rRNA from 1 species